rnacentral:rRNA from 1 species
UAAUAAAAUGAUAAUAAGUCAUUGAACCCUUCUGUCUACUCAACUCAUAUACACUCAAUUUAUUUUAAAUGAAUGUAAUGGAUGUAACACAUCUCAUACUAAGUUUCAACAACGGAUCUCUUGGCUCUCGCAUCGAU